UUGUUGUUAAUUAAUAAAACUUCUUAAAAUUUUUUUGAAAUUAAAUUUAUUUAUACUUCUCUUUACCCUUUCCUCCCUCCAAACCCAGAAUAUACUCUUUCCAACUUUCCUUCAAAUUCAUGACCUCUUUUUGUUUGUUUCAACAAAUUACUACUUCAUGUAUAUAUGUAUGUACAUAGAUGUUCCUAAAUAUAACCUGUUGACUCUCUAUAAUACUAACUGUAUGUAUGUUUGAGACUGGCUCUUUGACACUAGACAAUCAGUUGGUAUAUUCUUCCCUUGGUGUAGGGUUGCGGCCUUGGGGUCUUUCCUCUGUCCAGUUUGGCAUGUUCAUUGGUAGCAUUCUUGUUCAGCUCGCAUUUGGACAAAAUCAUGUUGGUGAGACUUUAUGGAUGAGAGAAGGAAUUAGUAGGAUACAGGUGAUCUGUCUGAUCAGGGAAAUGGAAAAGGGAGGAGGCUCCUUAAAAAGAGACAAAGAGAUUGAUAUAGAAGAAGGGGUGGAGAGGAGGGGAGGGUAAAGGAAAGUAGCAGUAUACAAGUGGUCUGAUAAGGGAAGUGGGGAAAGGAAUGUUCUUUAGGAAAGGGGAGGCAGGUCAAUACAAAAGAAGAGAGGUGGGUAAAAUAACAAGGAUGUCUGAAAAAGCCACCAAGAAUCAUACUUUUUUUUUAUUUAUAAAUUUUAACUUAGAAAACUGUAAUAUUCCGUGUAUGAAUAUACAUACACUUUUAAUGAACCUUUCUUAUCUGGUCAGAUGAAACUUCCUCCAAGAGCCAAAGACUACCUAACAAAACCUCCAAUACCAGACAUGAGAUACUCUCUUUUUAGUUGUUGUCCAAGAGACUCACAAAACAUUCAGUCUAUUGCUGUUGUCCUUGAUAAACCCCCAGAGGUAGAAGGAAGGCCUAAAGACUAAUCUUCUAAAAGUAUUUCACAUUCGGCCUUCUGGUUUAAGAGAGCGAAGUCACCCUGCUGAGAAAUGAAGUGGCACAGCUGAAACAGCUUCUUCUGGCUCAUAAAGAUUGCCCCGUAACUGCCAUGCAGAAGAAGUCUGGCUAUCAUACUGCUGAUAAAGAUGACAGUUCAGAAGACCUUUCUGUGCCGAGCAGUCCACAUACAGAAGCAAUCCAG